AGUGAACGCUGGCGUUAGGCCUAACACAUGCAAGUCGAACGGCAGCACAGUAAGAGCUUGCUCUUACGGGUGGCGAGUGGCGGACGGGUGAGGAAUACAUCGGAAUCUACUUUUUCGUGGGGGAUAACGUAGGGAAACUUACGCUAAUACCGCAUACGACCUACGGGUGAAAGCAGGGGAUCUUCGGACCUUGCGCGAUUGAAUGAGCCGAUGUCGGAUUAGCUAGUUGGCGGGGUAAAGGCCCACCAAGGCGACGAUCCGUAGCUGGUCUGAGAGGAUGGUCAGCCACACUGGAACUGAGACACGGUCCAGACUCCUACGGGAGGCAGCAGUGGGGAAUAUUGGACAAUGGGCGCAAGCCUGAUCCAGCCAUACCGCGUGGGUGAAGAAGGCCUUCGGGUUGUAAAGCCCUUUUGUUGGGAAAGAAAAGCAGCAGGUUAAUACCCCGCUGUUCUGACGGUACCCAAAGAAUAAGCACCGGCUAACUUCGUG
rnacentral:rRNA from 1 species